UAUACCGUGAAACUGCGAAUGGCUCAUUAAAUCAGUUAUCGUUUAUUUGAUAGUACCUUACUACUUGGAUAACCGUGGUAAUUCUAGAGCUAAUACAUGCUUACAACCUCGACUUCGGAAGGGGUGUAUUUAUUAGAUAAAAAACCAACGCCCUUCGGGGCUUCUUGGUGAUUCAUGAUAACUUUGCGGAUCGCAUGGCCUUGCGCUAGCGACGGUUCAUUCAAAUUUCUGCCCUAUCAACUUUCGAUGGUAAGGUAUUGGCUUACCAUGGUUUCAACGGGUAACGGGGAAUUAGGGUUCGAUUCCGGAGAGGGAGCCCGAGAAACGGCUACCACAUCCAAGGAAGGCAGCAGGCGCGCAAAUUACCCAAUCCCGAUACGGGGAGGUAGUGACAAUAAAUACUGAUACAGGGCUCUUUUGGGUCUUGUAAUUGGAAUGAGUACAAUUUAAACCUCUUAACGAGGAACAAUUGGAGGGCAAGUCUGGUGCCAGCAGCCGCGGUAAUUCCAGCUCCAAUAGCGUAUAUUAAAGUUGUUGCAGUUAAAAAGCUCGUAGUUGAACCUUGGGUCUGGCUGGCAGGUCCGCCUCACCGCGUGUACUUGUCCGGCCGGGCCUUCCUUCUGGAGAACCUCAUGCCCUUCACUGGGCGUGUUGGGGACCAGGACUUUUACUUUGAAAAAAUUAGAGUGUUCAAAGCAGGCCUUUGCUCGAAUACGUUAGCAUGGAAUAAUAGAAUAGGACGUGCGGUCCUAUUUUGUUGGUUUCUAGGACCGCCGUAAUGAUUAAUAGGGACAGUCGGGGGCAUCAGUAUUCAAUUGUCAGAGGUGAAAUUCUUGGAUUUAUUGAAGACUAACUACUGCGAAAGCAUUUGCCAAGGAUGUUUUCAUUAAUCAGUGAACGAAAGUUAGGGGAUCGAAGACGAUCAGAUACCGUCGUAGUCUUAACCGUAAACUAUGCCGACUAGGGAUCGGGCGAUGUUAUUUUUCUGACUCGCUCGGCACCUUACGAGAAAUCAAAGUUUUUGGG
rnacentral:rRNA from 1 species